rnacentral:rRNA from 1 species
CCUACGGGAGGCAGCAGUGGGGAAUCUUGCACAAUGGGGGAAACCCUGAUGCAGCGCCGCCGCGUGAGUGAAGAAGUAUUUCGGUAUGUAAAGCCCUAUCAGCAGGGAAGAAAAUGACGGUACCUGAUUAAGAAGCCCCGGCUAACUACGUGCCAGCAGCCGCGGUAAUACGUAGGGGGCAAGCGUUAUCCGGAUUUACUGGGUGUAAAGGGAGCGUAGACGGGAGCACAAGUCUGGAGUGAAAUGCCGGGGCUUAACCCCGGAACUGCUUUGGAAACUGUGCAGCUAGAGUGCAGGAGAGGUAAGUGGAAUUCCACGUGUAGCAGUGAAAUGCGUAGAUAUGAGGAAGAACACCGAUGGCGAAGGCAGCCUCCUGGGACGCAACUGACGCUCAUGCACGAAAGCGUGGGGAGCAAACAGGAUUAGAUACCCCAGUAGUC